UACGAAGGGGGCUAGCGUUGUUCGGAAUUACUGGGCGUAAAGCGUGCGCAGGCGGCUUCUCAAGUCAGGUGUGAAAGCCCAGAGCUUAACUCUGGAAUUGCCUUUGAGACUGAGAGGCUUGAGUACGGGAGAGGUGAGUGGAAUUCCCAGUGUAGAGGUGAAAUUCGUAGAUAUUGGGAAGAACACCGGUGGCGAAGGCGGCUCACUGGCCCGUAACUGACGCUCAUGCACGACAGCGUGGGGAUCAAACAGG
rnacentral:rRNA from 1 species